UACGAAGGGGGCUAGCGUUGUUCGGAAUUACUGGGCGUAAAGCGCACGUAGGCGGAUACUUAAGUCAGGGGUGAAAUCCCGGGGCUCAACCCCGGAACUGCCUUUGAUACUGGGUAUCUCGAGUCCGGAAGAGGUGAGUGGAAUUCCGAGUGUAGAGGUGAAAUUCGUAGAUAUUCGGAGGAACACCAGUGGCGAAGGCAGCUCACUGGUCCGGUACUGACGCUGAGACGCGAAAGCGUGGGGAGCAAACAGG
rnacentral:rRNA from 1 species